CUAAAUUUAUGAUUCAUUCUCAUCUUCUUUGGUAUUAGAAAUGAUUGAAUUAGAAAAUCAUGAUGUUGAAAUGUGUUCAACACCCAAAUAUCUAGAUUGUCCUGUUCAUAUGUUUGGUUCUUCUGGUAAUAAUGGUUACUUAGGGUUUUAUUAUGAUAGCUGUGAUACAAGGUUAAUUAGUUGUUGGAACCCUUCCACUAAAGAAUACAUAAAACUUACAAAACAUCUCAAUAGGCUCUUCGGUUAUUAAGCAUGGAUAGACUCGAUGAUUUGUGGAACGAAGACAAGAUGCAAGAUCUUGUUCACGUUAAAUUUGGAAUCGGUGUUUAGAAUAUACAUAGAGAUUAAUAUUGAGAAGAAAGUCAAUUUGGGUUGUAGUAUCUAAAGAUAUCCAAAACCUAUGUUUUCAAAGGCGCCCGCAAAGGGGCCCAGGGCGCAAGAAUCUUAAAGUGGCUGCCUAGCCAAUAAUGCGCCCAAGGUGCCUAAUGCUUAGUAGAUGAGUAUAUUCAGUGCUUGUUUGCAGCAUCAAUCAUGGUAUUCGACAACCUAAUGCGUAGUAGAUGAGUAUAUUCAGUGCUUGUUUGCAGCAUCAAUCAUGGUAUUCGACAACCUAAUGCGUAGUAGAUGAGUAUAUUCAGUGCUUGUCUGUAGCCUUCUUUUCUCACCUAAUGCGUAGUAGAUGAGUAUAUUCAGUGCUUGUUUGCAGCAUUGAUCAUGGUAUCCAACAAACUGUAGCCUUCUUUUCUCACCUAAAGAAACAAGAUUUAAGCAUAACCAAUAAGUUAUCAUCGACCGUUUUCACACUGUAUAUAUUUUUUCCUGGUCGCCUAGUGCGCCAAAGGCGCCUAAUGCCCCACACGGCAUAGUCCAAAACCAGGUUGGAAAGAAAUUGGGAUGUGUUUCUUUAAGAUAAUUAGAAUUCUACUGUAGCAUUCUGACCUAGGUAGUGAAAAUAACUUCUUUUUUUUAAGGUAAAAGAAGAAGAAAGAAGUUGUUUUCAUUAAUAGAUUAGAAUGCGUGUGUGGGAUAAUAGAAGCUGGUAAAAAAAUUGAAGUUGAAACUGUUGAUGCUGGUUCAGCAAAAGAUCCAGCAAGAAGUUCUCAUCAAUAUUGGUUGAACUGUUGGUACCACAAAGUCUCUGAAGGUGGCAACACGGAGUUGGUUUCAGGUUGCAUCAACUUAGAUGAUUGGUCUGAUGAAGAAGUUGAAUCCAUGCUUCAGAUUGGUGGAAAUUCUUCUGCUAAUUCAACCUGAUGGAAUCACAAAGCCUGGAGCAGAUUCAAGUCCUGAACGGAGUACCAAGAUUAUCAGGGCCCGAAGAAAGCAGACCAGCAAAAAGCAUACUGGACGAUUUCAGUAAGCAUGUGUAGUUCAGUCAGUUGUGCUGGCAGCACCAACAUCCCCUGCUGAUUUACAGCUGCUGCUGCAGCUAGUAAUGCAAUAUCAACCAUGGGUAUUGCUUCUCGUGAGGAUGUGUCUAACUCGAGUAGCGGCACUUUUCCAAAGGUUCCUUGCCCUAAACAGAGGCAGGGAUAAAAAAGAUGGGCUUUUAUUUUGAAUACUGGUGAUAUGUUUGUAAUUAACUUUGUAUUCAGGGUUUCCUUUUCACUUUUUUCUUUUCUCGAUAUCAAAAACACUGUUUUCAGUGGUAGUGAUGGUUGCAGAGGCAAAGAGAUAUAAAAAUGGAGAGGUGGUACAAAAUUGCUUGAAGGUGCUUCCACUACUUGCUUCAUGAUGGAUUGCAGUUGUGGGUAUCAGAACCCUUGCAAGAUCCUUUUGGUGAAUCCGCUUGUUAGGCCUUGUCAAUUGGGAUCAUGUAGCAAUAUCAAGCCAUUUAAUUUGACGGUUACUUUGCAGUAGCAAUUCAGUUUCAGGGUGUCGAGUUCAUAAACAAUACUACAAAUACAAAUUGGAAAAAAUGGUCGGAAAUUUUGUUUAAUUACUUUGAACGGUGGAUUACAAAUUUAACAUGCAGGUUUUUGAUUUAAUA